AGUCUAGCAUGUAUGGGGGCGGCCCCCUGGUGCGCUCACCCUCCUUUAGAGGGAGCAGAGCGUCCCGCACAGCACGGAACUGAGUCAACGCAUUUCUCAGAAGAAGGGCAGGGCGCUCGGUGGCUGGUCCCCGCAAGAAGGCUGUUGUUAGUGCUGCUACUAGCCAGUUGCUCACCUAGCUGAAGCGGUCAGCUGAUCCAACAACUUUAUGUAUCCGUGUUAAAUCUCUUAGUUUUUGUGCAUUUCAUUUGUUUGACGCUGAUUCUCCGUUGGCCGUCCAGCAAACGAAAAUGUCCGAGCCUACGGUGGCCGAUACUCGCCGGUUGCAUUCCAAGCCCCAGGACCUGACAGACGCCUACGGUCCGCCGAGCAAUUUUCUGGAAAUUGACGUUUAUGAUCCACAAACUGUGGGAGUCGGACGCACCCGUUACACAACAUACGAAGUUCGCAUGAGGACAAACCUUCCCAUCUUCAAGCUGAAGGACUCCUGUGUGAGAAGAAGAUACAGCGACUUUGAGUGGCUGAAGAAUGAGUUGGAACGAGACAGUAAGAUUGUAGUUCCCCCUCUGCCAGGUAAGGCCCUGAAAAGACUGCUGCCGUUCAGAGGAGACGAGGGCAUCUUCGAGGAGUCCUUCAUCGAGGAGCGGCGAGUGGGCCUGGAGCAGUUCAUCAACAGAAUUGCCGGCCACCCGUUGGCCCAGAAUGAGCGGUGUCUUCACAUGUUUCUACAGGAGGAAGGCAUUGACCGCAACUACAUUCCCGGAAAAGUAUGAAUAAAGUAAGGGUUACUUUAUUUUUGACAUCCCAUAUGCUUCGAUGCCCAGAGCGUCUGGAUGGCCGGGCGUACCCAUGUACAUUAUCUUCUACAUCGUGUCAUGCGCUGCAAUGUGUGGUAAUGCCAGAAACGAUGAGAGUCAGAGAUAUCGGAUAUCUCCCAUUUGUUCUGGUUUUGAAGCAAGUAGGAAAUCAAAUAUAUGAAUCGUAUGAUAUUUCUUUACUAGGCAUUCUAUAUACAUCAUUUGAACUAUAAUUAACAGGUUUGAGAAUUCGCCACACAGUUGUGUUGUCCCACCACAGCUAUAAUCUAUUCUAUGUUUGUUUUUACAAAGAAUAUUACAUUGUAAUGAAUGUCUUUUGUUUCCAGAUGUAUUCAAAGCCAUUCCUGUUUUAGUCCAUCUGUUCCAUUUCGCUUUCAGAGCUUGGCUGUUGAUUUAAUACCAUCCAAAGUGGAGCGACAUGUAGCAUUAUUAAAGAUAAGACAGUACAAUGAGUCCCACCUUUAUCCAAAUGUUUGCUUUGUUUUUGUUUAAUGGCCUCUUUGGUUUCCCCACGCCGUCUUGGUAUAAUCAUACGUUUUGGCUGUUAAAAACACUAUUGGACAUGUUGAGUAAGGUAAACACCAUAUCUAAGCACUGUGACAAACUUAUUUUGAACACAAACAUCUCCUUCAUUUACCUGAAACACAGCUGUAUAUGCUCUUAUUUCCAGCUUUUUAUAUAUUUUUAAUGAAUGUUAUUACAAAUCAUAUUAAUACAUUGAGUCAUGGCAACCGCCCAUGUUUCUAUUCACCAAUAAAGUUCCUGCUGCCUGC